rnacentral:rRNA from 1 species
CCUACGGGAGGCAGCAGUAGGGAAUCUUCCGCAAUGGGCGAAAGCCUGACGGAGCGACGCCGCGUGAGCGAAGAAGGCCUUCGGGUCGUAAAGCUCUGUUGUGAGGGACGAAGGAGCGCCGCUCGAAGGGGGCGGCGCGGUGACGGUACCUCACGAGAAAGCCCCGGCUAACUACGUGCCAGCAGCCGCGGUAAUACGUAGGGGGCGAGCGUUGUCCGGAAUUAUUGGGCGUAAAGCGCGCGCAGGCGGUCUCUUAAGUCUGAUGUGAAAGCCCACGGCUCAACCGUGGAGGGUCAUUGGAAACUGGGGGACUUGAGGGCAGGAGAGGAGAGCGGAAUUCCACGUGUAGCGGUGAAAUGCGUAGAGAUGUGGAGGAACACCAGUGGCGAAGGCGGCUCUCUAGCCUGCACCUGACGCUGAGGCGCGAAAGCGUGGGGAGCAAACAGGAUUAGAUACCCUGGUAGUCCACGCCGUAAACGAUGAGUGCUAAGUGUUAGAGGGGUCACACCCUUUAGUGCUGCAGCUAACGCGAUAAGCACUCCGCCUGGGGAGUACGGCCGCAAGGCUGAAACUCAAAGGAAUUGACGG